UGGCUAUUUGGGGUGGCAGUUAGUAUCAUGUGUACAGCUAUCGGCUCUUUAAAUGGUGUUAGUGUGGUUCGUUAAUAAUACACUGUUUUCUUCUGAGAUGCCUGUGUUUGCGUAUUUAUCCCUGUUGCCGUAAACUGCAGUGAAGGCCCAUCUUGCGAAAAUGAGUUGGUGUUUACGCGUUCUGGUCUUUUGUCUGUAUCCCUGAGUUCUAGUGUGUCUCGUGGCUACCUGCUCGUGCAUAUUGGGGUUGUAUUUGUUUUGUAUGUUUCGUGUCCUUCCCCUCUGCUGGUGAUGGUGAAACCUUCUGCGGUAAGUCUGUGUCACCUCUAUUGCGUGUUUCCAU